UUGAAAAAUCUUUUUUUUGAAACCAUCUAGGUCAAAAACCUCAAAGACAAGACAAGUCAGUCAAAAUUAGCCAAUAAAAAACAUAAUUGAUUAGCAAAACAAGGAAAAUUGAAGAAAAGAAAAAAGAAGGAUAAAGAUCAACAAAACCAGAAUGAAGAAAAAUUACAGCAUAAAAAUUCAGGAAAAUCACAAAGUCAAGUAGAAAAUGGUAGUGAAGAAGAGGACCAGUUAAAUCCAGAGAAUGUAGAAUUUUAUGGCACUCCAGGACAAACCAGUUUUGUCAGUGCUGCUUAGAAAAGAUUUUCAAAUUGAGAGAAAAUUGCUUCUAAAAGAAAAAGAACAUAUUCAGAAUCUAGACAGAUUUAUGAGCAAGAGCCAAGAAAAUUAUUUGCUGGAGAAAGUCGGAAGAAUAUGAAAGAUUUGCUACCAAUUAAGACAAAGAAAGGAAUUAUUCCUCAGAUGAUCGAAGAACCAAAUGGCGAAACAAGUUCAGACAUAAUAGAAAGAGAUACCAUUAUCAACCAGGAACCAAAACCUUUGCCACAAUUAUCAAAUAUUCAGCUGCUUAUACAAAGAAAACAUAACCUAAAAGAAAAGAAAAAGAAGAUUGCUUUACUUGCAAGUGAUGUGAUAGAAAACCCUGAGGAAAAUGUGAGAUAUGUUAAGAUUACUUUCUUUGAUCAUUUAGUAUCCAGUUGUUUGUUGCAAACCUAUUUAUAAGACU